rnacentral:rRNA from 1 species
GACGAACGCUGGCGGCGUGCUUAACACAUGCAAGUCGAACGGAAAGGCCCUGCUUUUGUGGGGUGCUCGAGUGGCGAACGGGUGAGUAACACGUGAGUAACCUGCCCUUGACUUUGGGAUAACUUCAGGAAACUGGGGCUAAUACCGGAUAGGAGCUCCUGCUGCAGGGUGGGGGUUGGAAAGUUUCGGCGGGUGGGGAUGGACUGGCGGCUGAUCAGCUUGUUGGUGGGGUAGUGGCUUACCAAGGAUUGGACGGGUAGCCGGCCUGAGAGGGUGACCGGCGACAUUGGGACUGAGAUACGGCCCAGACUCCUACGGGAGGCAGCAGUGGGGAAUAUUGCACAAUGGGCGGAAGCCUGAUGCAGCAACGCCGCGUGCGGGAUGACGGCCUUCGGGGUGUAAACCGCUUUCGCCUGUGACGAAGCGUGAGUGACGGUAAUGGGUAAAGAAGCACCGGCUAACUACGUG